GAAGAAUCAUCUCACCUUGAUUUGUCGCACCGUCAACUCUCUGGGCUCGGCCAGUCAACAAUUUUGUGUCAGCACCCAACAAAUUUCCACAGAACAUCAACUUCUGUAUCCAGCGAUAAUAUCCACUCUUGGAGUGCUACUGUUAGCACUGUUACUAUAUGUGUUUUUUAUCAGGGCUCAGAAGAGUCCCUGUAAAAAUGAAGGUCACUUAACAGAUGAAAACAACACAGUUGCAACAAGUCAGCCUCUAACUGAAGAAGGGAAUGAGGAACCAAACACAACAGAAGAGUGCAUUUAUGCAAACGCUGAUGGGCUGAGAGGGGCAGAAAAUCUUCACCCUGCAAACAUCGCUGGACCAAGCAGCACUGACUUUCCAAACUCUGGGCCAAACCAUGCAGAAGGAGGAUGCAAAAAAUCAGACAAGA